rnacentral:rRNA from 1 species
GACGAACGCUGGCGGCGUGCUUAACACAUGCAAGUCGAACGGAAAGGCCCUGCUUUUGUGGGGUGCUCGAGGGGCGAACGGGUGAGUAACACGUGAGUAACCUGCCCUUGACUUUGGGAUAACUUCAGGAAACGGGGGCUAAUACCGGAUAGGAGCCCCUGCUGCAGGGGGGGGGUUGGAAAGUUUCGGCGGUUGGGGAUGGACGCGCGGCUUAUCAGCUUGUUGGUGGGGUAGUGGCUUACCAAGGCUUUGACGGGUAGCCGGCCUGAGAGGGUGACCGGCCACAUUGGGACUGAGAUACGGCCCAGACUCCUACGGGAGGCAGCAGUGGGGAAUAUUGCACAAUGGGCGGAAGCCUGAUGCAGCAACGCCGCGUGCGGGAUGACGGCCUUCGGGUUGUAAACCGCUUUCGCCUGUGACGAAGCGUGAGUGACGGUAAUGGGUAAAGAAGCACCGGCUAACUACGUG